CUGAGACGUCAACUUAUUAGUUUAAAUUCUUUGCAACAAUACAUUCUCGGUUAAUAUGUAUUAGUUAAACAACUAUUUAUAAGAGCCCCAGUGGAUUAGAAUCAUUACCCAUAAAUAUAUCAUUAAAUUCAAUUCGCGUUUUUAUCCCACCCGACUAAAAACCUUUCCAACCUUAGAAGUUUCUAAAUUCAAGGGAAAAUAAUGAAGCCAACGACUGAAAAGAACUGGAAGUGCGACAAGUGUUCAAAACUAUUUGUACGAAAGCGGAAUCUCGACCUUCAUGCCAUCACUCAUGAGACCAACUCUCAAGUCAAAUGUGAGAGAACUCACCUGGCGAAGGCUGAACGACCAGUGUUUACAUGCCGAUUAUGUCCUCUCACUUUCUACUCCGCACAAGGGAUUUGGUGCCACGUUAAGAAUUAUCACGAUCGGAACCAAUAUUUGUGUCCGAUUUGUGACAAAAAUCUAAGUAGUGCUUACAGGUUGAAGUAUCACAUCAGAGCACGCCAUCCGACAAAUGAGGCGCCGACUUACUUCUGCCAGUAUUGCGAAUAUCAAAGCAGAAUCAAGGAAAACUUAACGAGUCACGUGACACGGGUGCACGUGGGUGUGAAGGGAAGGGAAUGCUAUUUUUGCGGGAACAAGUUUUACAAUUUUGCCCAAUUGGCCAGUCACUGUAACCGGAUUCACACUCUUGAAAAAUAAUUUCAUUGAUUUCAUUCGAUUAGAAAAAAAUUGUCAUAUGUAUUUGUUCAUUAUUUUCUGAAUUAAUUAAUUUUGUGCUAAUUAAUAUUUGUAUUAAUUAAUUUUACUUUGUUCCAUAAUUGGCUUUUUCGUUUGUGCAGAAUGUUAACUCAAGUCGUCCGUAUGUCAUGCGUCAGAAAAACUUAAUACAUACUUACAUAGAUA